GGAGUUAGCCGGUGCUUCUUCUGUGAGUGAUGUCCUUCCUGCCGGCUAUUAACCCGCAGGCCUUCUUCCUCACUGAAAGUGCUUUACAACCCGAAGGCCUUCUUCACACACGCGGCAUGGCUGGAUCAGGGUUGCCCCCAUUGUCCAAUAUUCCCCACUGCUGCCUCCCGUAGGAGUCUGGGCCGUGUCUCAGUCCCAGUGUGGCUGAUCAUCCUCUCAGACCAGCUACGGAUCGUCGCCUUGGUGAGCCGUUACCUCACCAACCAGCUAAUCCGACAUAGGCUCAUCCGAUAGCGCGAGGCCCGAAGGUCCCCCGNUUUCCCCCGUAGGGCGUAUGCGGUAUUAGCCUGGGUUUCCCCAGGUUAUCCCCCACUACCGGGCAGAUUCCUAUGCAUUACUCACCCGUCCGCCGCUCGCCACCAGGGAGCAAGCUCCCCGUGCUGCCGCUCGACUUGCAUGUGUUAGGCCUGCCGCCAGCGUUCAAUCUGAGCCAGGAUCAAACUCUGA
rnacentral:rRNA from 1 species